UGCACCAUAGUGCCGAAUUGAAUCCAAAGAGGAAUUCUCUGUAAGUGGAGGAGAAUUGCAACAUGGCUAGCCCACUAGAGAAUUAAAGCCCAAAAGAGAAACCCCUAAGAUUUUCCUCCUUCUCCUUUUAUCAUCAGAGAAAACAGAGCUAAGCCGUGCAGAUAUUCCGAGCCGUCAAGACCUAAACCCUAGCCGCCACCGUUGGUGUCUCCGAUCUGCCACCGCAAGCCCGCCUUCGCGCUUUGUGAAGGGUGCUGGUUGGGCGAACGCCGGUUGGGUGGAGAGUGAUGAAGCCGGGUGUCCAGGCGGUUGGCUUGGGUACACUUGUGGAUUAGAGAGUCUAGGAAAUCUUGUUUGAUGCAUUAUAGGCGAUAUUAACUUAUGAUUUGUUCUUGUUGUAUUAUGUGAUCUGAGAUGAGUUCAUAGGUUCAUAUACUUACUAAGUAAACCGAAUUACUCGCCCCUCAUUCUUUAAAGUCCCGUUGUGGUGUCAAUGCUUUUGGGAAGACACAUGUUUUAUUUCAAAAUUUUCGUUGAGCUUUGGUAAGA